rnacentral:tRNA from 1 species
AGUAAGGUAAGCUAACAAAGCUAUUGGGCCCAUACCCCAAAAAUGACGGUGCAACUCCUUCCCCUACUA